UACAGGGGGAUAACAGUCAGAAAUGACUGCUAAUACCGCAUAAGCGCACAGAGCUGCAUGGCUCGGUGCGAAAAACUCCGGUGGUACAGGAUGGGCCCGCGUUGGAUUAGGUAGUUGGUGAGGUAACGGCCCACCAAGCCGACGAUCCAUAGCCGACCUGAGAGGGUGACCGGCCACAUUGGGACUGAGACACGGCCCAAACUCCUACGGGAGGCAGCAGUGGGGAAUAUUGCACAAUGGGGGAAACCCUGAUGCAGCGACGCCGCGUGAGCGAAGAAGUAUUUCGGUAUGUAAAGCUCUAUCAGCAGGGAAGAAAAUGACGGUACCUGACUAAGAAGCCCCGGCUAACUACGUGCCAGCAGCCGCGGUAAUACGUAGGGGGCAAGCGUUAUCCGGAUUUACUGGGUGUAAAGGGAGCGUAGACGGCUUUGCAAGUCUGAUGUGAAAGGCGGGGGCUCAACCCCUGGACUGCAUUGGAAACUGUGAGGCUUGAGUGCCGGAGAGGUAAGCGGAAUUCCUAGUGUAGCGGUGAAAUGCGUAGAUAUUAGGAGGAACACCAGUGGCGAAGGCGGCUUACUGGACGGUAACUGACGUUGAGGCUCGAAAGCGUGGGGAGCAAACAGGAUUAGAUACCCUGGUAGUCCACGCGGUAAACGAUGAAUA
rnacentral:rRNA from 1 species